rnacentral:rRNA from 1 species
UACGUAGGGGGCAAGCGUUGUCCGGAAUUACUGGGCGUAAAGGGCGCGUAGGCGGUCCGAUAAGUCCCGUGUGAAAGCCCCCGGCUCAACUGGGGAACUGCACGGGAAACUGACGGACUUGAGUUCGGGAGAGGGAAGCGGAAUUCCGGGUGUAGCGGUGAAAUGCGUAGAUAUCCGGAGGAACACCGGUGGCGAAGGCGGCUUCCUGGACCGACACUGAUGCUGAGGCGCGAAAGCUAGGGGAGCAAACGGG